UACGGGGGGAGCAAGCGUUGUUCGGAUUUACUGGGCGUAAAGGGCGCGUAGGCGGUCGUGACAAGUCACUUGUGAAAUCUCCGGGCUUAACUCGGAACGGUCAAGUGAUACUGUCGGACUAGAGUACAGAAGGGGGCAACUGGAAUUCUCGGUGUAGCGGUGAAAUGCGUAGAUAUCGAGAGGAACACCUGCGGCGAAGGCGGGUUGCUGGGCUGAUACUGACGUCGAUGCACGAAAGCGUGGGGAGCAAACAGG
rnacentral:rRNA from 1 species